CGAUUUGUGGUUGUGACCUUACUGGUGGCAACAGUUGUCGGUCAGUUCGACCAACGGCGGCGCCGGCCACCAUUUCCGUUUCCAUUUCCACCACAACCAUUUCCACCACCACCAUUUCCACCAUCAACACCACAACCAGAUCUAGAUGGUUGUAACUAUUAUUGCAUAAAGCCUGCAGGACCUAAUGCGAACGCAGCAUACUGCUGCGGCCCACCAGGACUUCCUGUACUAAAGGAAGAGAUUCAUGCUGGUAAAUGUCCUUCUGCCUUGUCUAUCUGCACGAGGGCUCCGACUUUUUUUGCUCGGGAUAUUUCUCGUAAUAUUCCGAUUCCACAGGUGUGUCCACAUGACGGACACUGUCCCCGUAACCAGAAGUGUUGCUUUGACACCUGCCUUGAUAUACACACCUGCAAACCUACCCAGUAAGGUCUAUUAACUUCAAGACGAGAGCAAGACUGUUGCUCAGCUGCAAGCAGUCCAUAGAUGUGAACAUGUGAUUGGAAAAUUACUUGCUUAAAUAUUUAAGAUUAAAGGUCUCAAUCUCAAUUGAGUUUGUAGGCCAUUGAGAUCCCUGUCUCAAUAGGCUGCAAGUUCAUCACCGUACUAUUUAUUAUUUGCAUAUAUAAUGUACCCUGAGAAUCACAACACUUGUGUAAUUACUCAGAGCUACUCAGAGCAGUGAAUAUGUGGCCGCCAUGGGUAAGUCCGGUUAAGGCCAGCACUGAAUGGGUGACAACGAGGAAAGCCUCGUCCUUAAUAAGGGCGAGGCUUUCCUUAAUAACUCUUGAAGCCUAUAGCAGCCGCUCGAUCCUGACAACAAUAUACCAUAACGGAACAUAUUCCUAAAUAUUAGUAAUUUGCCUUAUUAUUUGUCAAUUCCGGGUUCGGGGUUGCACAUAUUUGUAUUAAGAAUGCACUUAAUAAAUUAAAUAAUUUGGUUUUAAGGUGUUUUACAAAAUCGUUCGAUCAGGCUAGCUCAGACAUUCAGUGCUUCACUGAUAAAUUUUGUUAGAACCACAACGCUAUAAAUGCUUCUCCCACGUACUACCAAUACAAAUAAUCGCCAUCAAAACCUAAACACAUAACCUAACCUAUGCCUAUAUAUGCAUAAUAU